GGGGUAUCACAGGAGUUGGGUGACAGAACCCCCAUAGGUCCCUAGCUCGUCUUAUGAACUGUUACUUGGUAGUUACAACAUAGUAAUUAACUAAAAAUAAAUAACAUAAACAUUGCUAAACAUGAUAGAUAAGUUAACGUAUUAAAGGCCGUAGGCCGUGAGGGUUAAUUCAGGUCUUGGUGCUUUUGUGCGUUCCGGGUGGGUUGACUAUUGCUGUCUCCGCAUACCAAGGUUGGUGGCCUGGCUUAGUGGUCAAGGUCAUCGCUAGGGUAGAUAGUUCCAGUGCUGCCAUAAGUGCUGGGCCAUAAGUAGGGUCUGUGGCCUUGUAGUGCUUGCUAUCUUUGGUAACCCGCAGUGUUCCAAGAGUCGACCACCUGUAGGCAAUGCCUGCUGCUUCGAGUGGUUUAGUGAGUGUUUGCAUAUUUUUGCGUAUAGAGUAGUGUGGCCCUGCUUAAGUCCUGAAAACAGGAGAGUCAGCAUUCCUCGAACUCAAAAGGUGUCUUUACUUGUAGGGCUGCCAGAAGCCCCAAUUUGUCUGACAUUGAUUGGCACCGCAGUAUGAUGUCUCACGGAGCUACGUCAGGUGCUUGCAGGGAAUUAGCUAUUCUGUAAACUCCAUCGAAUAGAAAGAUUUUGGCUUGUCUCGCUGGUAGUAGUGCGGUCACCAGGCGCCUGAUGAAAUGUGGUAAUUCUUCCAGUGGCAUUGAUUCCUGUACCCCUCUGAUUUUGAUGUUUUUAUGUCUCCCUCUGUCAUCUAGUAAGUUGACUUGUCUGGACAUGGCUGCUUGUGUGGAGUGCAGGUGUUUUACCUUCUCCCCCCAGUACUAGUUCCUGGUUUAGGCCUUUAAUUUCGUUCUCUGUUGUCUGAGUGCGUGUUGACACUGCUUGCACGUCUACUUUUAGCACUACCAGGACUGCCUACCACAUUUGCCUGACAUUCAGCAUGGCCUUUAUGUCACUCUUUGAGGCUGGGGUACUGUCCACUGCUACCCAUGGGUGUGUGGGGUGUCGAUGACUGAGUGGUGGGCUGUCUGGUGGUUUCCCAUCCUCUGAG